rnacentral:rRNA from 1 species
UACGUAGGUGGCAAGCGUUGUCCGGAUUUAUUGGGCGUAAAGAGCUCGUAGGCGGUUCGGUAAGUCGGGUGUGAAACCUCCAGGCUCAACCUGGAGAGGCCACCUGAUGCUGCUGUGACUCGAGUCCGGUAGGGGAGCGUGGAAUUCCUGGUGUAGCGGUGAAAUGCGCAGAUAUCAGGAGGAACACCAGCGGCGAAGGCGGCGCUCUGGGCCGGAACUGACGCUGAGGAGCGAAAGCGUGGGGAGCGAACAGG